rnacentral:rRNA from 1 species
ACGCUGGCGGCGUGCCUAACACAUGCAAGUCGAACGGAGUUAUCUGGAUCAAGACUUCGGUUUUACUUAGUGGCGAACGGGUGAGUAACGCGUGAGGAACCUGCCUUUCAGUGGGGGACAACAGUUGGAAACGACUGCUAAUACCGCAUAAUGUCAUUUAGGGACAUCCCUUUAUGACCAAAGAUUUAUCGCUGAAAGAUGGCCUCGCGUCUGAUUAGAUAGUUGGUAGGGUAACGGCCUACCAAGUCGACGAUCAGUAGCCGGACUGAGAGGUUGACCGGCCACAUUGGGACUGAGAUACGGCCCAGACUCCUACGGGAGGCAGCAGUGGGGAAUAUUGGGCAAUGGACGCAAGUCUGACCCAGCAACGCCGCGUGAAGGAAGAAGGCUUUCGGGUCGUAAACUUCUUUUAAGUGGGAAGAGCAGAAGACGGUACCACUUGAAUAAGCCACGGCUAACUACGUG